rnacentral:lncRNA from 1 species
CUUCCUUACAGUGCAUUUUUUAAAGGAGAAGAUGAAAAUUAGGCCUCCACAUCUUUCUUCAAACUCAUUCCAUGGAUUCUGGAGGAAAGAAGGUAAACCAAACAACAAUUCCCUUGCGGGGAUUGGAUAAGGUAGAAAUAUUGAAGGCCUUCGCCUGUGUGUGUCAUGAAGAAGGAAAAACAGGGAUUAGAUCAACCUAUAUUACUGCCGAUAGCCCCAAGAUGUGCCAAAAAGUGGUGGUUAAAGCAAAAUCUAUCUUUUUGCAUAUAUAUACUUUUCCCAUCUACUAAAUGGAGAAAGGAGAAGUAUCUAUAGG